AGCGAACGCUGGCGGCAGGCCUAACACAUGCAAGUCGAACGAACUCUUCGGAGUUAGUGGCGGACGGGUGAGUAACACGUGGGAACGUGCCUUUUGGUUCGGAAUAACUCAGGGAAACUUGUGCUAAUACCGAAUGUGCCCUUCGGGUGAAAGAUUUAUCGCCAUUAGAGCGGCCCGCGUCUGAUUAGCUAGUUGGUGAGGUAACGGCUCACCAAAGCGACGAUCAGUAGCUGGUCUGAGAGGAUGACCAGCCACACUGGGACUGAGACACGGCCCAGACUCCUACGGGAGGCAGCAGUGGGGAAUCUUGCGCAAUGGGCGAAAGCCUGACGCAGCCAUGCCGCGUGAAUGAUGAAGGUCUUAGGAUUGUAAAAUUCUUUCACCGGGGACGAUAAUGACGGUACCCGGAGAAGAAGCCCCGGCUAACUUCGUG
rnacentral:rRNA from 1 species